UGAAAUUUGGGUGAGGUGAAAUGAAUAAAAUACCCCUAAGAAAAUAAAAAAAAUUUGAAACUGUCCAUCAGUUGACAAGCUGACAGGCUGAAGCAAAACGGGCAUAACUCCUUACUUAGAUGUUAGAUUUGGAUGAAACUAGUUGUAUUGGAAAUAAGACUCAAAGAUCUUUCAUUUUCUAGGUUCCAGCUCUCCCAGUUC
rnacentral:lncRNA from 1 species